AGGCGAUAACUAGUAGAUAUCCCAGGAGUUUAGAAAGCUAACGAAUUGUGAACUAUGACCAUGGAAUGAUUAUUUAAUAAAUAAACACCUCACCCUGUAAACCCUCUUGCCCACCCACUAGUCACUCUGUUGGUUAGCUGGGAAUGAAUGUGAACCAAUUCUCCCUACCUGCGAGCGAGUUCGACUUCUAGGAGUUAUAGUCCCUAAGUAGCAAGAACAAGGUUUAGAUGUAGGAUUGUUCUUACAAGGAAUGAACGUUCCAAGAGAGCGAAACCAACCGGGGGAAGGAAAGGCAAUGAAUAAUGAAUAGGAAAGCAAAUACGAUUUAGGACAAAUUCUUGGGGUCCAGUGAGUGGCCUAAAGGAAUUACCGCUCUUAGCAAGAAUGGGAUUCUUCUUAGAAUACGGCCGAAGAAAGGCAACUGGGAUUGAUGCCGCAGAAUCCACAGUGAUUGAGUCAGCUGCACAUUCAUCUCUAGAGGGCUUGUUCUCGAAUACCUGCAAGUGAAUCAGAUCUGGGCGUACUCAUCUUUAGAGAUCCUGCGGGUUAAUACGACUUCCACCUCGGACUAGAUUCACUAGAUGGAAUCUCUUGAUAAGGAGAGUCAAUCUAGUUACCGGGUAGUGAGACCAAUAGGGAAACAUAAGAGGGAGUAUGUGAAAGAUCCAUUUACACGGACGGUGUGCGACAAAUGAGUUGUCGGGCAUGGGAGAAAGGGUUUGAGUGGGGAAUGCUCUCAAGAACAAAGCAAAGACGUGGCCAUAGUAGCUUUCUCACUCAGACUCUUCAAAGCAACUAACGGGUGAUUAUCCGAUCGGGGAAGAAGUUUACGGGUUAGCAGAAAAAGCACAGAGCAAGACGUCAGCUUAGAAGUGAACAUGUAACCGUCAAUAAGAUAAUCCCACCCAAGAAUUCAGAAAAAGCAAGUCAUUCGGUUCAUUCAUGUCGGGAGCGGAAGCAAGCGCGACGAGCGAGCCUGUUUUUAAACUGUCAGUUUUGGCAUAUCAUAUAAAGUACUAUACUAGUGCAAUCGAUCAAUUCAAGCCUGUAAGGAAAGCGUUCGGCAAGUGAGAGUGCCCAUGGACAUGACAUGGCUUUGGUUGUUAUCACUGCAACUAAUGAAGAAGUCUUAAAUGCCUCCGUACAGUACAAAAGACUGACAAGACCUGCUUCUUUGAAUUUAAAAUCUUAAGCUUCAGCGGAAAUCCGCUGAUCAUGUCAUGAAUGUCUUAUCGUAGAUUAUGCGUAAGCCCUUAGCUUAGCACGUUCGUAGAACUAAGGAAGCAUCUUUGGCGGGAGGAAAUGGUCUCAUUGUCGGUAACAAAUUCGAAUUUCGAGGACGGGGCCUCUCCUUCCAGCCGCGUUUCUUUCAUCCACUCUCCUUCCUUUGUUUGUCAGUCGAGUGCCAGGUCCAUGAUCGGCGUGUUCAAGACGUGCUUAUGAGGUUCGACUCCUCACCGAUCAUCCGUUCGUUGGACAGUUCGUUUGGUUGGAAAAUACGUAUAUUUAUAACAGCUCUACUAACUGGUGUUUAUUUCCGGAGUGAUUGAUGCUGUCGCCUAAAAAGAUAACACACCAGGACGAAACUUCGGGAGUAGCGGCUCACUGUUGAUCCUAGGGCCCAGCAUAAAGAUUUCCCAACCAACCGGAUCGAACCAAAAAAAAAGAUGAAUAGGUUUUAACAACCCAUCCUUGUCCGUGCGUGGAAGGAGGAGAGUUGUAGCUGGAUAAGGAAAUUACUUUAUUCUGUUAUGUCCUUCUCAUGAUCGUAGACCACCAUCCUAGCUAGAGGGAUGAAAUUGAAGUUCCGAGGAAAGAGAGGUUGAAUAAUACUUAGAUAGAAGAAGUUACUUAGAUAGAAGAAGUUGUGAUAUAGCGUAUAUAUCUAGAUGACUGGACUUGGCUGCGCCCUAAGCCAAGCUGUACUACGUAGCCCCUAUAACUCUAAAACCAUUACCUAUCCCGUCCAAAACAACAUAUACCUCAACAGCAGAAGAAGUCACCCUUCAUCUUCCCACAUUGAAGACACGAAAGAGAAACCUCACCUAAUGAAAUGACCUCACGCCAGCGCUACCCUUAAAAAAAAGGUUUUACGGAGCUUUACCGCUCUUCCUGCGAUUCUUCUUUUUAAUGAGAACAGCACGGAACUAGACUAAGGAAGUCAUCUGCAGUGCCCCUUGCACUUCCUAAUGGGACUUUCCCUGGUUGACUAUUCUUACUAUGAGAACAAUGAGCACCAGCUUCAUUCACAAGAGAAUGGGCUUCCUCCAGUCAUAAUCAUCCCGUACGCUAAGAACACUGCUGAUUCGAGGGGGCAAGAGGUUCCACUCAUCAAAGUGAGAGACGUAGGGCUUCUGCCUGGCCUAUAAUAUUCUUUGCCACUUUUCAAAUCAAUAAUAACGAUGUCAGAGAUAUUCCAAGAGGAGGACUCAGGUUCCGGUAAACUCGUCUUUAGACCUAAUGCUAGCUUUCUGUCAAGUCUGUCCAGGGAAAAGGUCUUGUACCAUUGAAAUAUGGUCCAUGUAGUAGUCUUAUGCGUUGGACCGGGUCUCCUCUGAUUGCGACGAUGAAAUGGUAAAGAGAUGUCGAAAUGGUGAGAAAGCUCACAAUCCAUAAGUUUGCCCGUUUGGAGAUGUUGAACUAUCGUUAGUACAAUUGCGGAGACUUUCGUCGCUUUGUUCCUGCCUGGCUCACUAGUCAGACCCCAAAAGGGAUAUGUGCGUCUUUGUUCGGAUGGGUAAGUUUGAGCUUUUAUGAAUUGAGUCUUGGUCUCUGGGUUCCGAGUACUAUGUGCUAUGGUAUUUGCUAAACAAUCCAGUUCUAUAACCUCCUUUCUGCUCCCAUUGGCGGCUCAACUUCGCUUUUGUCCAAUGAUUCCUUCUAACAUAACAGGGCAUUCGUGAACAAGCCCUGCUAACAGCUCUUUGUCCGAUUCUAUUUCUAUUUCCUGCUCGAUAAGGGUCAGAACUCGAUCCGGGAAUUUCAUUAGACCUCGAAUGCGCUCUGACUCUUGGGGAAGAUCUGCUUGAGAGCAUCGAAUCGUUGCUGCUUUUGCUAUUGGUCUACAAAUCGCUGCAACCAAUGUCCCGAAAGUAGCCUCCGUCCUCUUUUGAGUAGAAUGAUGGGCUCUUAGGAAUAGAAGUGGGCAUGAAUGGAGCUUCUAGGACUGUGUUGACUGAAGCUCUCUUUGUCCAUCUAAUCUUGAUUUGCUGUAAACAGGCGAUAGUGUCAAUUGGCUUAUUCGAUGCUCACUGCCUGAAUUUAGGAGUUAACCCGAUCGAGAUCAGAUGAUGCAAGGAUCGGAUUUGAUAAACUUUCUGGCAAUUCGCCUCUUUCGGGAUCUUCUAUGACUCUAUUAGCUUCUUUCUUCCAACGGAGGUCACCUCGCUCGCCUAAGAAGGAGCUGUGGGACUUUUUGGAUCAAUUGCUGAGGAGCAGACUCCAAUCCAUAUACUUUUAUAGUAUAAAAAACCUUCGGGAUCACUUGUUCUUUUGCGACUUGAUAUGGAAUCCCGCUUGAUAACAAUAACAGCCUCCCCUGCUGUGGUUCCGGUGGCCACUCGUACAACCGGCGAACAGGUUCUGUAUAUUGAUUCCCCGCCACCUAUCUUUCUAGCGAUGGUGGUGAGGAUGAUGGGCUAUGUUUCGUUUGGGCUAAGAUGCUUUCUCCCCCGUUCGUGUUCCCGCUCCGGAGGGGCCUCCGCAUUCCAUGCGACCCAUGUAGCUAUCUAUUGGCGCCUUCUGCUGCGGCUUCCUCGACUCCUGCUAUCCCUGCCGCCUCCGCUAUAGCUUGGAAGAUGAUUAUUUGCUCUUCGGCGAAGGGGGCAAGGGCGUGGGAAAUCCGGCAGCCUUAGGCUUCUACUGGUCCAUCCCCCGGAUCCCUCUGCCUCUCCUACGUUUCUUGGUGCUCCAUCCCGAAGUCCGGCAUGGCUGCCCGAUCCAUCCACUCGUUGAAAAGGCAGGGGGUGGACGGGAGAUAGAAAGAUUUUAGAUGAUUCAUGAAGAAAUUCAUUGAAUUGAAGGGCUCGCCUGAGGGCUUGCUUAAGAAGUUCACCAGCAGUCGCUCUUGAGAGUGGGUGGAACGUGGAACGAUUGGGACAAGGCGGGGGGCUCCCGCCGAACCACGGAAGCCUUACCUCUGGAAGUAAGGGCGUGCUAAUCCCUGACCUAGGGAAUGGAAUGAGUUAUAGAUAGAAAGAGAGUGGGACUGGUCAAAAGGGAACUUUCCUAGUUCGAAGGUGUGCGUGCGAUUAUCUAGUCAUCUGAGCUCUCGUAAAACGUACACAUGUAUCAAUCACCCACUCCCCCGAUAUGAUUUACCCAUGUUUGGGAUGUGUAUCCUUCCAUGAUUGAAACUCCCAGGGCCAGGACUACUUUACAAAUAGGACGUGCUUGCAUCCUAAAGCUUUUUAGCCUAUAUUGGUACUAGCGUGGUCACUUUCUGCGUGCACUGCUUCUUCAUCAGCAGGUAGGUAAUUCGAUACUCCGGCCUCACCCGACCUUGGCUGGCCUAUGACCACUGAUUGGGUGCAAGCGGCGCUCCUUCCUUUGUUCAUCCUUGUUGUUUCGGUCGGUGAGCCUAUGUCCUUUAUUAAGGGAAGUUUACUUGUCCAAUAUAAGCUAAGGCCCGUAAGCCUAAUCAGUCAAGUCAACCAUACCUAAGGAUCGGUGAAAAUGGAGAUGGAAAGAACCUCAACAGGGUUAACUUCGAGUUAAGAUUUCUCCGUUGCUGGACCAUAUGUUACCACUUAAGAUGCUUGAGUAGUUGAUGUAGCCGAAUCACCUACCCCCCUUAUAAUCGUCUAAAGGAUCUGCCCUCGCUGGAUCUUUUUCCAUAACUUUGGUUGUUGAGUCGGGUUCUGCCAUAGAUGAUCAAACUGCUUUCGCCGGAGCAGAUGAUGUCCAAAGGGAGUUGUGCUCUUCCCAUUUUUUAGGUUGAGGGCUGCCAGAGUAUCCGUCUCUUAUCUUAAUAAAGGCAAAUCAUCCGCAGUCAGUGGCGGAUGUUAACGUGAAACUGAAAUAGUCGGGGCCUACCCAGACCUACCUAUAAAAAUAUGGAGAAGAGUAUGUAUCUAGCCUAGAGGAGAAAUUAGGGGGAAUCCCCAGCCUGUAGAAUAAGACCACCCGCCUUUCACUAGCGAAGCGGAUCUUUCGGUAUCUUACCUUAAGGGUACCUUGCCUCAUGGUUGACACUCCCGCACAUGAUGUCUCUCUUAGUGCUUAGGCAGAUCAUAUUGGGCAGGUUGCCCGGAUCCCCGAAAGUGGGCGCUCCACCACUGUUUUUGCAAUUUGUAGGGACCCCAUUCCCGGAAAGCCAAUAAAAAGCCUACGGGUUUCCCAGAGAAAAAAAAGAGACUCCCUAAGGGUAAGGGCUGAAGGGCUUGACCCGCUAUAGAUCUAGCAGAGUGGAAAACUAGAAGAUGAAUAUUUUGCAGGUCUUUUUGGAGGCCCUGGCCUCUCCUCUCAAUAAAUAGGCUUUUUUAGUUUCGCUUCAUCAUAAGCUGUCACUGAAGAGGCUGAUGCCGCCAAUCGGCUUUUCCUGAAUUUGACAUUUUUGGGUUCACGAGUGAUCAAUAGUAAUAGUAGAGGCGAACGGUCUUUUAGUUUGAAUGACUUCUGGGCACAAGUGCCAUUCUCGUCUACUCUUCUAUGGGAGGACUGAGAGGCUUUCCCCGAGCAAAGAAGGUGAAAGGGGUUUCAACCGAGUCUGAAUGUCAGCGUCUUCCUUUUUCCCUCACAUUCUAGCAUUAUAGAAAACUAUCCUUGAUAGCGGCUGGGUAGGCUGACUCUCCUAGUUCUAACUCCUCAGCAGGGAAGGAAAGCCUUCCAGUGAAAGCAAUAAACAAUAAAAAACCCGGUGCCAAUUUAUAUUCUAUAUUCUAGGUGAUUCCUCGUCACGCCUAUCUACUGAAGAACUCAGAGGUUGAGGAGUUUCUUUUUGUCCUUCAGUCCGCGUACGCGUAGGGUAAUAGGUCCGUCCACGAGCCUCCCAGUUCGUAUAGAGCAAAAAAUGGGAAUUUUCGCCAGGUUAUGUAUAAGGAGUUCCCUGGGAGUUGACCCGCUGGAGUUUAGGACUCUGCAAAUACAUCCGCUUAGUUAGGUAGGAACUUCAGGAUAAUAGUGAACACUAGAAGGGUAAUCCGCCGAGAGCAGAUUCUAUCUAUCAAUAGGCUCUGCCACUUCCUCGGAGGGUGGAAAAAAAGAGUCUUCUAUCGCAAUCGCAGAACAGAAGCCGAGUCGGAUGCUUUCACUUAAGAAGAUGUUGUCGGCCUCGUUGGACCGAUUGGUAUCACACGAUACCCGACCACCCAUAACCCAACAGUACCCAUUCCUUGGAAAAGAGAAAGACGGCAGAACGUAUUUCGCGAGAAAAUAAACUUCCAAAAAAGGAGCCAGAAGGCCGGGGACAAUACCUUAUACUGCCGCUCGCUCUUGGCAGGACAAAGCAUCUGCGUAAAACAACUAGUUUGGUAGAAUACCAUAUGCUCUAAAAAGCAAUCCGUAUGAUGAACUGAAUCCCCCAUUGAAUUACCCCAAGGUUGGUAAGGAAAAAGAAGGAUGAAAGCUGCAAAUAGGCUUCACUAGAGGGAUAACUUAUGCUACCAAAUCCGUUUCUGUUGCUGAAAGACCGUCUGCUACCACUUCACUUAUUAAGAUGCUCUCGCUAUUAAGAGAAGAGGACAUCUCCUAACUGUGGUAAUUGCCGCGUAAUAGGAUGUGUUGAUAAUAGAGUCUUUUGCCACAAAACCUUAUACCGUAGUAGUUGAUGUAGCCCCAAGCCCCUCUUCUCUCUAGCCUUUGAUUUUUUGAUAGAGACCGAUCCGCUUUUGUUGGCAAGUUCGGAAGAAGGCUUUGAGGGGUGGGCCUUUCGUACUCAAAUCCGUACGGGGAAAAUUAUUCAGCGCACUAAAAUCUAGUGGAUGGGGUUCAAUAUUCAUGAAAAGCCAGGUUUGAAAUGAUCCAUGUUACGGAACCAAGACAACCUAUCUUACUAAUAAAAGGGUUAAGGGCCUCCAACGCCUAUAAAUAGAAGCUUUUUUCAGUCUCUAUUUGGCAAAGGUCGCCUGGGUUUUUUUAUUGCAUGAAAAAAAGAGGAAGCAUAGACAAGAGCAAGAGCAACGGUUUACUCGGUUGAAGCAAUAGAGGCAUAAAUAAAGCAAGCAGUAGACCUAGCAGCAAAUCCAGUGUUAGAUCAAUACCCUGAUCCAUACCUAGUAUCAACACCAAUAGGAGCAUAAGUAGCUAAUACGUAAAAAGCACGCACCAGUCACAUACCCACUUGUAGGACCUGAACCAUAAGCUAGGGUUGCUGGAGCAGAGCAAGAAGCAUAUCCAUACGUUGAUCCAGUCAAAGAACCAGUAGUAGAUCCAUUAGUACCAUUUGCAUUACCAGAGCAAGUCCUUUAUCCAGUUGAAGAACGAAGAACCAGUUGACUAAGUUACAGUUCCUUAAGCAUAACCAGUAGAGACCGCAGAUUGUUAUCCAUAUCCAGCAGAUACGAGGGCGACAGUACGAGUACCAAAAGAAAAGUAGCAUAUCAUAGUAAAGAUCCUAUAGAAGCCAAGCCUAGUUCUCGCCGUUCAGCAGUGGAAUAUUCCCAUGAUAUAGUCGCUCAGUCAUUUGUGAAUUCCUUUCUGGAGUCCAGGAUAUCGGAAAUAACAUCUAAAAAGAGUAGCCGGAACCGGUGCUACACCAAAGUAUGGGCUUUUGAUUUCUCAAUCGAUUUUGAAUUACAUGACUGGGAAUCUUCCUUUCAUCGGUGGCCAAAAGCCCAAGUAUUCACUUACUACCUAAUUCCGAGUUUCAACCGAACUGCUGGCACCCGUUUUCCAAGCUCUUUUAGGGCAGAUAGAUGGUCAGCUUAGCUAUGAAUUUCUUUGAAUAUGGGACACCAACAGUGAAGGAAGGUUCCUCGGAUGAUUGCUUCUAUUGACUGUCCUUCUCUAUGUUGACUGGGGAAGCCUCUAGCUGAGCAAAGUCAGGGUUGACUCUCAGAGAGGAGAAAGUGGGUUGGCUUCAGCGAGGGCACGGCCCCUCAACUAUCCGUCUCUCUUUUUCCUGGCUAUAUACCUUACUUUGCUUUAUGCUUUGUGAGGAAGUCAUUCUUUCUUUGAUCUCCCGAAGCCCUUUACUAGCUCGUUACGUAUACUUCACUCGCUCCCUUCCAACCUCUAUCUAUUCUAGUUGAGUAAGGAAGUGGUCCUAAAGGGUUCUUAUCUCCUACAUUCGACUAGCUACCAUGGCUAGAUCUAAUUAGUUCUGUUCUGUCUUUGCUCUCUUCUUUCCUAUUAAGUUGGUAGUUCCUAAGGAUGCAACCGAUAGAUAGGAGCCCAAUGCUACCAUCCGAUCCGCUCUUUCUUUCGUAUCCGAGUAGCUAGAUGUGACAAACAAGGCUUGGUUCUUGAAUGGAAUACUGAGAUGAGGUUUCUAACAAGCUAGGCUCUAUUAGAAUGGAUUCUAUCGAUCAGUUCGGGAUAAGGGGCAUGCAGAAUCUCUUUCCCUCUAGGACCCUCCUUAUGAGCGAAGGGAUCCCUGCUAGAGUAGAGGUACUCCGCGCGUAAAUCUUUUUUAGGAUUCUCUGUUGCCUUUGUUCUUUUGAAGGUAAUAGAAGACGAAGACGAAUACCGCCUGUAGCCAGCCCCUUUAAGCCUCAAAGAGACCAGAAGAGAAGGAAAAAAAUGGAUUUCAACACUGGCAUAACAAAAAGCCAGGCUCGAAUCAUUUUCAACGACAAAGGAGAUCAAAUUCUCUGUCGUGAAUGCUAAAUUUCUUCGGUGAUGAUAUCGUUAUCGGGGAUCCGGAAAGUGGGGAUUCAAAAGAGCAUCCCACAGCCUUAGCCUCUCCUCAAUGGAGUAUAGAUGGUUCUCCCCCCCUACAACUUCUGGUGCAAUUCGAGGGGGCCUUCACGCUGCACCCUUACACUAACUUGAGUUUCUCUUGCUUGCCACAAUCCUAUGUCUGAUAAAGUAAGACCAACCAAUACUAGCAGGGACUCAUUCCUCGCUUGCUUAUACUUGCGAGGUUAUGUAUUGGGUGGUAUCAGUGGUACAGAUUUCUUGGUGUCUGCUCUAGGUUUGACACAACCUAAAGCAGGACGUGGUAUCGUGCUUCCUAGUGUUUUGAUACACUUUGGAGAAGAUCCCACGGUUACGACCAUCAGCUUAGUUACCCUAGCACACACAAUAAGGGGGCUCAGAAAAAGAAACUUAUACUUAUAAAUAAACUUAGCCAUAUCCUUCAUUUCAGUACUUUUGCUCCCUUCAACACAUCCCUCUACUCAACUUGGUAACCUUCUCCGAUCCGCUCAGUCUUUGAACUGGAAAUUAAUCAGAGAAAGAAAGGCCUAGCCGAUGCUUUCAAUCUUCGUGUUCUCUUGUCCCCGCAAGAAGGAGAUGAAAAUCACUGGAAUGAGGACCCAGCUCUAUACUUACACUCUGCAGGCGGGGAAAUUUCCACUCUAAGGGGAGCCUUUGAGGAGCCCCUCCGAAUGAGAGAAGUGAAAGCUAUCGCCCUUUCUCUUUUUUUAGAAUGAAAAGUUGCACUUGGAUAGGCCAGAAGGGAGUAUGCCACCAUCCGCCAAGGAAGGAAAGAUUCGCUUAUAACAGAUACUUCACCCGAGACCAAUGAAAGGAGAACUUGACACAGUGCUAUAAGGAACAAAGCAAACAAGCAAAGCAAGAGAGCCCUUUCCCGUUCCGGCAAGGUAAGGGAUAGGGGUUUCAUACUCAUUUUUUUAAAAACUAGAAUUUAUAAGGGAGCUUGAGUGUUAAGUUCUGUGCAUCAAACUAAUUUGUCCUAAGGGUUUAGGUCAGGCUUUGUUUUGAGAUCGAUCUCCUGCUUCAACUUCACCCUAGACUCGUGUAGUGUAGCAAGACUAACAAUCGGAAGGGCUCCGUAUAGUUCUAUUUUAGGGCGUAACGUUGCCCUCGACUGACCGAAAAAACAAGUUCAAGAGGCAUCUUCCAUUCAUAUCGAUUUUGGUUUUUCUGCACCAUAUUUUGAUCUGCCUCUUCUUCGAUCCGGAAUUCCCAGCAAAUCCUUGACUCCUCGAAUACAAUGGAAUUUCACACCUGGCAAAUCUUUCACUCUACCUCCUCUUAUUAAGACCAUAGAAUGUUCCUGCAAAUUAUGACCUUCGCCCGGAAUGUAAGCAAAUAUAUCAUGUCGAUUGCUCAACCGUACUUUGGCUAUCUUACGUAGAGCUGAAUUAGGUUUUUUCGGUGUUCUCGUCGAAACACGCAGGCAUACUCCUUGCUUCUGGGGACAUUGAUCCAAAGCUCGAGUACGGUCCGUGCGCCGUUUUUCUUCUCUACCAUGACGAAUCAAUUGAUUUAAUGUAGGCAUCGCUCUUUCCUUUGUCCUUCCCCCCGGUUUUUGCCCUAUCACUAGUGAUUACUCCCAAUCCAAAGCACCCCUUUUCCAUUCAUAGAGAAAUCCAAUCGUCAAAAUCAAUAAAAAGGCCAUCAUGGACCAAAAUCCAAACAGAUCAAUCUUGUUGAGAGAUACUGCCCAAGGAAAGAAAAAGGUUACUUCCAGAUCAAAGAUAAUAAAUAAAAUUGAAACAAGAUAAAAUCGUAUAUCGAAACGACUUCUGGCAUCACCGAAAGGAUCGAAACCACAUUCGUAGGCCGACAAUUUUUCUGGAUAGGUCGAACUAUUAGAAGAAAAUAAAAAAGGAAGACCGACUAAGAUUAAAGAAACUAGCAGACUAAUCACUAAAUAGAUACAAAUAGGUGCAAAUUCUAACAUCACCACAGCCCACUUUGUUCUCUCGCUCCUUGCUCGCGGAGCGGCAUACCAGAAAAAAAAAAAGAAAGAAGAAAAAAAAGCACCCCUUCACUCACUCACUCAACCCCAAUCCUUCAACUCUAAGUGAAUCCCUUACCCGUAGCGAUCGAGCCAUAUCUCGAGAUUGUUAAUAGCUCGUCUCACUCGCCUAUAUGGGAGACUUUGGCGAGUCCCAUUUCGUUCGAUUUGCUCUAGAUGGGAGAGCAAAGUGCGUUGGGAUAAUAGAGGGUUCUCCCUGUCGCUAUUAGUAUGAUUAAAGAGCACCCCCCGUAUAUCCGGUAAGUUAUGAAAGAUUCUCCACGGAGAGAACCCAUCAUCAAUUAACGCGGAUUCGAUUCGUUUCUCAAUUCGAAAAUGAGACUCUAAAAUCUCUAAGAAGGAUGGUAGGUGAGCAGAAGUGUGCUUUCCUACGAAAUAUAAAGAAAGCCUCCGCGCUAGAAUCUGUCUGCGGAUAGAAUCCUGCAGUAGCGGCGGGUGUUCCGGGAUUACCGGGGGAGAGGGGGGUUCAACGGGUACUGUUUCUUGGCCGUGAGGAGGUCCCUCUUGCGCUUGGGCAAGCCAAUCCACAAUUGGAGGUGAAUCGAUCUGCCCGUCGCAGAAGGCUAGAGGUAUAGUACUCUGAAAAGAAAUAAGAAUGAAGAAGAUAAAACCCCACAUUAAGAUUUUAAUUGGGUUUUUUCUUUUAAAAAUAUCAUUAGUGGAUUCCCAUUGGUUAGGAGAACCCAAAGGCAAAGGCGUGAUCGUGAAAAUUUUUUGUUGGAGCGCGGAAACAUUCACAAUAGAGCCAACGCGACUGACAGAUAAGCCGACGUUAAUAGCGGGUCUAAUUCCGCGAUAAAAGAGCUCUGUUUCCAAACAAAUUUGUCCGUCAGUAAUUGAAAUAACAUUUGUAGGAAUAUAAGCCGAUACAUCUCCAGCUUGUGUUUCAAUGACGGGUAAGGCGGUCAAGCUACCUGCACCUGUCUGGUCCGAUCGUUUCGCGGCUCUUUCUAAUAGACGGGAAUGUAAAUAGAAAACAUCGCCUGGGAAAGCCUCACGGCCUGGGGGUCGGCGUAACAAUAAUGACAUUUGUCGAUAUGCCACGGCCUGUUUACUAAGAUCAUCAUAGAUUAUUAAUGCGUGCAUUCCAUUAUCGCGGAAAUAUUCCCCCAUGGCACACCCAGAAUAUGGGGCCAGAAAUUGCAGAGGAGCUGGAUCCGAGGCGGUGGCUGCUACAAGAAUGGAAUAUUCCAAAGCAUUCCCUUCUGAAAGAAUUUGAACUAAUUGUGCUACAGUUGAGCGUUUUUGUCCAACCGCUACAUAGACACAAUACAAUGUCUCACUCUCAGAGGUGGCCCUUGAGUUCAUUUCCUUUUGGUUUAAUAUGGUAUCGAUAGCAAUAGCAGUUUUUCCAGUUUGUCGGUCCCCGAUUAUAAGUUCUCGUUGACCACGGCCUAUAGGAACGAGACUAUCUACCGCUUUUAAGCCCGUUUGCAUGGGCUCGUGCACAGAUUUACGUUCAAUAAUCCCUGGGGCUUUCACUUCGACACGUCUUCGCUCGUGAUCGCUUAGAGCCCCUCUUCCAUCAAUAGGGACUCCCAACGCGUCGACCACACGCCCUAGCAUAGCCUUUCCCGCGGGAACAUCCACAAUAGAGCCAGUGCGCUUGACAAGAUCUCCUUCUUUAAUAGCGGUAUCACUACCAAAGACAACAAUCCCUACAUUCUCAUUUUCAAGAUUUAAGGCUAUCCCUUUCACACCGCUGGCAAAUUCAACCAUUUCCCCAGCUUGAAUUUCGUUCAAUCCAUAAACACGUGCAAUCCCAUCUCCAACUGAGACCACUCGACCGAUCUCAUCCACUUGAAAAUUCGUGUAAAAGUGGCUAAUUCGACUUUCUAAUAGAGUGGUUAGUUCCGCAGCUCUGGGAGAAAAUUCCAUGAUUUCAUUCAAAUUAACAUUAACAGAGUUAAGGGAGAAUGCCGCUACUAUUACUAUUAAUGAAUAAUGAAAAGAUUUAACCAAGGAAAUAACGCACGAAGGCAGUAUACACGGCGGAGAGAUGCCCGUUUUGCUGGGCAUCUUGGAUCCAUAAGUUUAACAUGGAUACCACCAACCUUCUUUCAAAAGGGGAUCGCGCCGCGUCUUCUUGAAUCUGGAAACGACUCAUAAAGUAGUUGAUGAAUUCAAGAGCCUCGGACCUUAUGACACGGUCAGGUUCAGCAAAGGGGGAAUUCGAUAAUAUUUGAGUGAGCCGAUCAGUUGGCUCACUCAUUAACAAAUUCACUAGUCCCUCUAAGAGAUUGGCCUUUAAUUCGAAAACUGUAAUGUCAAAGAGUUCAUUGUUUAGGACAUUAACAUCCCAAAAAACUUACUUUUUUGAAAGCGUAGAAACGCAAUCCGCAAUCAAUGAAAAAACUUACUUUUUUUUGUAAGACCAAAUGCUAUCUCAAAAGAAUACAAAAUAUUGCAAAGCAAACAUGGAAAGCACAAUCAGUAUCAGUACGAGUGGGGGGCCGGAAAGACGAAGAAGAGCUCUUUUAAUCCAGCUGGUCAACAGCUGGCUUUUCCGUCGUGCAUCCAUCUGUAUGGGUCUCUAGCAAUUGGUGCUCCCGUUCGCACUCAUCAGAUCUUGUCUCCUCCCUUGGCCCUCUUCAAUCGGGUGAUUACGGCCUGAAGGAUCGAAAAAUGUGGCUUUUGAGCCUAGGAUUUCGAUAUCGACUUUCAUUCACUCCCCACUUGAAAGUCAUUUUUAGGUAAAGCAUCUCUAGCAGACGCAAUCAGUUAAUCUGAUUAGUCGCUCGGAGAAAGGUAGCGAAGUACGAGUGCUCAAUUCUGAUUCGAUAUCUGGGCUUUCUUCUGUUGGAGUGAAUCCCGAAUCCCUUGCUUGUUCGUUAGCGCUUUAGUUUGAUUGCUGCAGCCAACCGUACGUUUGCCUCUUGGUAACGUGAUCAGUUCCCAAGUGUCGUUCUUCUUUAGAGCCUCCAUUUCUUCUAUCAUAGCUUUCUUCCACUGAGGAUGAUUGAGGGCUUAUUUUAAAUUGGGAGGGUAUCUUGGUGGAAUAAAUCGCUGAAACGAAAGCUUUAAGAGAAGGAAUUAUUAUCGCUUAGCGCUUGUGCUAAGGAAGCUUGAUAGGACACAAAGUUAUUAAUAGGGCGAGAAGUACAAUAUCUCUUUUCUUUCCUCAAGGCAAUAGGUAAAUACAGAUCAGAAACAACAGAAGGAGGAAGAGAGGAAGUACCUGGAUCCAAGGAGGAGUCUUGGUGAUGGAUUGUUGAUUUGACAAAUUUUCUUCCUCUUCUUCACAUACGUCUUUAAUUCCGUGGUUUGCUGACCAAGCUGCUCACUACUUUGAGACUCCCCCUCUUUCGAAUCCAUAUAAUUUUCCACUUUAGACAUGGGAAUAUUUUAACUGACGACAGGAAGAACACUACUCUCCUCCAGACCUCCAUACUCCCCCUGAGGAGAGUAGGGAUCCGAAAGAGUACUACAAUUUUCAGAGAAAAGAAAUAAGAAAGAUUUUCAAAGAAAGUGAUGACAUCCAUGGACACAAAUCUUUUAUUUGUUUUGGGGUGAUAACACUUCUAGCCCUUCUGAGAGCUAGAAUACCAAACAAAGACACAUUUGAAAGACUUAUAAUCAAGUUUGUUUCUGAGAGGACUCAAGUCAUGAACAAAGCAAACACAACCAAAAACACGAAGAGAAAUAGGAAAGACAGGGGUGAGUCAGGUUUCAACACUUGAAUAGGAGAUUUACCACUUAGAACGGACAUACGAUUAAUCAAAUAACAUGCAGUUAAGACAGCUUCUUACCAGUAUUAGCUACCUUCAUCUCGGUGAGAAGAGCACGGGUAACCUCCAAAGAUGCCGAUUUUUUCGCUCAGCUACUCCAUUCUUGGGGGUAUAUGGGCAGGUAGUUUGAGAGUCAAUCCCUUGUUUCUGCAGAUAAGCUUGAAAGUUCUUGGAGAACUAUUCUCCCCUUUCUUUUUUUCUUUCAAAUUCAGUCAGAUCUCAAAAUCUUAACAUUUAUACCACACUGAGUUUUUUAUCAUAUUAUGAAAUAACCGGAAAAUAAAAGGAAUUAUUAUUGCUUAGCGCUUGUGCUAAGGAACUUCAUUCUUAGAUUUCAUAAGAUAGAUGAAAGUCACUCUAGAAUAGUCAUCAAUGAAGGAGACAAAAUAUUUAUAAAGAAAGGAAUCGAAAUUGACCGAUAGCCAAUGCUAACAAGCAAUAGAAGAGAUAUUUACAAAAAAGGUUAAUAUGGGAAGAUUUUCCCGUAUUCCAGAUGCGAGAGUUGCGACAGAACAGAACAAAUGAGCGAUUGCAACAGAUACUGAUUCCCCAGCAGGAAGAUAGGAAGUAUUGAAAGACAGAUCGAUAAGAUAUCUUUUUUAACGAAUUGCCUGAUUGCGACAGCUUAUCGAGACUUGUUACUAGACCAAGCAAAUUCCCUAGAAGAGAGCUUAAAGAGGGCUGAAGUUUAAGGAAAAGCGGCCAUAGAGCCGAUCUCUCCCAUCAGUCAGACAGAUGCGAUUGUUAGAGAUUCGAGAUUACCGGUUGGACCGAUUCAAGCGAUUGAAAGAGGAAAGACCGAUUGAUAGAGGUUGGACGGAUAACCGUGUUACCAGAUGAGCUGCUUUGCUAGACUUGUCUAAAGUUGAAUUCACUCCCUAGCCUUGAAAACGAUUAUGCUUUCGUAAUUAGUUCCAGCUUAGCUUCGUCAUGCCCACCGGAAGGAACGCCUUCACUCACGCCAACAACAACAACAACCUCUGCUUAAGCAGCCUACCUUGAACCAGCGAAAGUGAAAAUCACAUUUCUUUGCCUGAGAGAGAAGAGCGUCAGCCCGCACGGUCCCUGUGAGCAGCGGAUUGCUUCCGCGUUGAGCCCUUGGCACUGACCUUUGAGACAUCGUUCCCGUAGCACCUUAUACCUGACCUUGGAAUGUCACUCUGCCUCACAAAGAUCGUCUCUCUGGCACUUCCGCUUCCGGGGUUGGGUCAAAGCUAUCGGUCGAUCUCGUGGCGAGCCUUCCCCACCUACCUUACCUGGACCACCGUUAGCCCACCAACUUCCUUUGCAACCUGAACGCCCAACAACUUCCACUUCCACUGGGACUUGACCACCAACAGGCACUGGCUCACCUCACUACGCUCCGAAAGCUUCACCGUACUUUUCAGUUCAGCACGCCACUACUAGUUAUUAAACCCCUUUGGGCAUGGUCGGGGUACCUUUAUCUCUCGUUAUCAAUUGAAUCAGUCAAGAAUACAAUCAAGCGUUUAUCGCCUUUGAUCGCUCCCGGCUCGCUUUCGGGGCGAGCCUGCACUCUCGCUUCUCACUCGCCUACGAAAGAAAGCAAAAAUACUAGACUCGACUUUUACACCUGCGCUUCCUCACCUGCCUCUCCACUCGUGCCUACUUUCACCAACCGUCCCCUACUCCAUCCCUCUGCUUGGCUCUAGCCUUGUCCGGACCUCCACCUCUCUGAGUUCUCGCCCCCUGAGUUGCGUUCUUUGUCUCGUCCAUCUGAGGCCGACGGCUAGGAAAGCAUACCCUGAUUGGAUCGACCGAGUUCAUCAGUUUCCAAAGGGGUAUAAGGUGCCUGAGUUUGUUCUCUUUUCCGGUGAGGAGAAGAAGUCGACUAUUGAGCAUAUAGCUCGGUUCUCGGUCCAGUGCGGGGAAGCUAGGUCCAAGGACUACCUCAAGUUGAGGCUCUUUGCCAACUCUCUUACUAAAUCGGCCUUCCCCUGGUAUAUGAACAUCCCUCCAAACUCUAUUAACAGUUGGUACGAUCUGGAAAGCAAGUUCCAUGAGCAAUUCUAUAGGACAGACCCAGACAUUCAAGUUGCCAAUUUGGCAAGAUUGACUCAGCUCCAACGGUCGAAUCGCGAGGUUUAGGAAGCUUUACCCAGACUAAGGGGUACGUGACUCUUACGCACUACGGGUUAGUGACUCGUUAACACUCCCCGUUCCGUGGGCUCAAGAACUCGAUGCUGAUGAAACUCCUGCUUUUAGCGACUCGGUUCCUAUUACAGACAGGUGGCAGCUUCCCAUGCAAAGCUUAAUCGUUAAGUUUUGUCAAUAACCGUUUUUACGCCUGGGUGGAAAGUCUAGAGCCGCUUUAGGUGGUAACCAUACGGGCACCGCCUCUUGACCUCUCGUGUAAAGUAUAUUAAACUCGUUUUACCCCACUCUCGCUUCUACGCUCCUAACGCCUAGUUGUGUAAGCCAACAAGUGAGUUUUGCUUACGUGACACAAGACAGAUUGAAAGCAAAGGUAAAGCCGUCCAGUGAUCAAGUAAAGGUUACGAAGUGAUUAAAUUGAACGUACGAGCGAAACGAAAUACUUGUUUAUAUCAAUAUAGAUAUAAAUGGAGCGAGAAUCGGGAGUUGAUAUUGAGAAACGGAAGAAAGGCCGUGGAUCCCUGAUAGCCUAGUUGCUUCGAGCCUAACCCCUUGCUUGCAACAGAAACAAUACCCGGAGAAAAGUUUCUACGCCUGUAAAGCCAUUGCCCCUACGCCAAGCCCCGAAAUAAAGAAGGAGGUUAGCCAUCACGGGGAAGUGCAGUAAGUUAUCUAGGAUAUGAUAGAUAAAAAUGGAAGGAGCGACCCUUGGACCUAUAACCUUACCUUUUUGGGGCUCACUCCUUUCCUACUCGCUUGAUCUUGAUGACCAAGGACUAGAAACGAAAAGCUAACUUCCAACCCUUGGAAAAACCUGAUUCAAGACUUGCUGUACUCACUUUGAUGUAUUUUUUAAUAUAAAUUAUAACUAGCUUAAGGCUUGCUAGAACUCGUAACACAGCUUAUAAAGAAUACAAGAUAAGAUCUCAAGUAAGAGUAAGAGACUUAGUCUAAGAAAGGAAAGUCAUUUCGUGAAAUGGGAUUCGUAGCCAGCAAGCAAUAGCAUCCUGUUGUUAUAGAAGAAAUGAAAUUGCAUAAAAUAAAUAAGGACCUCGCUCGAAAGCGAAACGAAAUGGGGGACACUAUCGGGUAUGCCUGACAGAGAGAAUUGCUUGCAACGCAACUACAAGCCCAGAUGACUAAUGGAAGGAAGAGCUUCUGGCUAUCGAGAAAGCCCUGCUUGAAGAAAAGGCUACUUCCUACUGCCCUACCACCAAGAACAGAUUCUCGCCAUCUAUUUAGAGGGGAACUUCUUAUGAAACAACGCAGCUCCUAGUCCGACAGUUCGCUCUGCGCCUUAAGAGAAAGAGUUCCGGCAUACUACUAAUUUAUUAUUUGGCCGUUUGGGAUCGGAACAACCUGGGGAAAGUUGUCUUCCUACAUAACCUACCUCCCGGAAGAAGGUAUCAGAUCUAUGUAGUUCUCGACCCCUUUUGUUAAACCAGUUCCUGUGCCUGGGAUUCAUUCCAGUCUGUAAAGUGAAAGUAAUCUGGUGGAUGGGGCCCGCCUCACCAUUCCCCUUCUCCAAAAGCAAUCAAAAAAGAAAAAUCACCAUGAAAAAGGCCUGCCUUUCAGUACGUGAAAGAAGUUCUGCUCUUUACGUGAAGUAAGUGCUUUCUCUUUCACUGUCUUACUUUGGCCCCUCUCCUGACCGAAAAAAGGAUUCAAUCCAGCCCCAAGCGUACCAGGGGCUACCCUGUUUACCGGAUCCUUAGAGGUCUGCCCGUCCGGCGUCGGUACCUCGCAUUUUGUAAUUAGGGCGGCACCCCGGUUUUCUGAGUGCCACCUUCACAAUAAUAAGCAGGCGGCCUACCCGCUUUCCUUUCGGUCAGCUGCCCCUCAACCGCGUUAGGGGUCUUCCUCAUCCAUAAUCCAAGGCCACUGUUUGAUGGAAGUAUUUGAUAUUGUGGAAGGUCCCUCUACCUCAUGAAAUCAAUAUCAAAUAUCCGGUCUUUUGUUUUUUUCGAGAAGGUCCCAUAUGCGGGGAUAGAUGGAGGUUCUAUCGGCCUCCUCGUAACUUGGCCAUGGUCUUUUCCAAACAUUUUUCAAAAUGUCUUCCAUUUCUUGCCGCGUCCGAAGGGGGGAAUCGAGCCUCAAAGCAUCCACGAUUUCUCCGUCGCGAAUCCGUCCGAUAUUCCCUUGUGGAUCAAUUUCUGCUAAUCUUUCGUGUACGGCUCUAAUUAUUUCAGUCUUCCAAAAGCUUCGCAGUUCGCCCGAGAGAAAGUCCAAGCUCUCCUUCUGCUCGGUGUUGGGAGAACUAUCAAUGGCGGGAGUGGACGUGGAAGUAGAUGGGGACGAAAAUUGUGACGAAGGGGAGAAAUAGUCUUUUUCUGAGCUUGAGGCAUGAUUCUCAAGAGAAGUAGAACCAGACGAGGACUCGGGGCGGGAGGAAGACUCCAAGGGAGGAAUACUUAUUUCCCCGGAUUCUCCGCCUGAAUGGACAUUCGAAUUCGACCCAGAACAAGAAACAUUCAAAAUCAAAGUGGAUAAGGCUGUUGUCACUCCUAAAAAAGCUACAAUCUUUUCUAAAAUGAAGAAGCGAAAGAGACAACAUAAAAAGAAAACUACAAUAUAAAUUAGGAAUAAUAGAAGAAAACUCUUUUUUUUUUUCGAAAGUAGAAUUCGAUAAAUUAUAGUGAAAAUUACAACAAGCACGAAUAAAGGAAGGAGAAAUUCUGGGGUGGUCAUUAUAGCGGUUCCUUCUGAUCCUAGAAAACGUCCGAAAAAACCUGCUACGGAACUACCUAGCAGGGGCAAAAAUACGAUAAGUAGAUACAUAAUUUCGAGUGUGAUCAGACAACCAAAAAUCAGACAAUGAGAGAGCGGCUGAGUGAUAGAUUGAUCGACGUUCGGAGAACGCUCGACCGAAGGAAUUUUGCACAAGGUGAAUUGUAAGCCCCAACGACUUCGGAACGAGCAUUUUCGGGGACUAGCCCGCUUCCCAUUACUCAAGAGGGCAGUCCUCUUUCAUGUGGAAUCGUUUUAGAUCGUACCCAAGCCCGCCUCCACUUUCUUAUGUGAAAGAGGUCUUGCUUUAUGAGACUGAAACCUUCUUUUCUUUCUUAGAUCGGAAGACGAAUGAGAUCAAAAAGGCCAUCAUUGGGGCAAACGAUGCAAUAGCUUCGGUUAGAGCAAAGCCCAAAAUGGCAUAACCAAAUGAUUGUUUAGCCAAUGAUGGAUUUCGUGCCACGGAAUGGAUCAAAGAACUGAACACGUUUCCAAUACCGACAGCAGCUCCCGCUGAAGCAAUUGUAGCAGCUCCGGCACCCAUUAAUUUUGCACCUUCUAACAUCUCGGGUUGAGAAUUCUCGUCACGCUUUUUCAUUCACGAUUUUUUGUUAUGGAUUUCUCGUCGAUUCUUCCCCUCGUUCCUUUUCUCUUGGGCAUCGUACUUGGUUUGCCCACGUCUUUUCGAUCUUGUACCCACGGCACUGAACACCAACCCAAUCUCGACGAAAAAAAAAAGAAAAAAUGUGCGCAACUGCAUCAACAAUGUCUUCUUCUUGCCGCAAAGGAAAUGCAUGAGUGAAAGACUCUUUCAGAAUUCUGAAAGAUUUCUUUUUCGUAGAAAAAUGAAACAAUCUUAUUCAAGCUUUCUGGACGUCUUUCUACGCGUAAAGCUUUAGAUUCAUAGAUCGGUCGUUCCAGAUGUGAUGUUGCAAGCCGCCGAUCCGCGCAACCAAUAUCUGACGCGAGGCCAGUUCUUCUUUAUACGAUUACGAUAAAGAUCGAGCCGAUUAGUAAGCCUUGCCCUGUUGAUACGCUAAAGCAUAGCAGCUCGAGAACUCACAAACUGAAGAGCUCACGUCACGAAUUAAAGAUGCUACGUGACGCUUCAUAUGCGGAUACAAGGGCCCAGCCCAUUAUGAUUAGGGAAGGCUCCUUUUUUGUUUGCUUGAUGAGUCAGGUUCCGCCCAUUCGACUGGCAAAGUUCAUGAGCUGGUGUUCUCUAAAUGUACCAAGUCUUAUGUACUCUAGCAGUAGUGGGCGAAGCAAGGGAUGGAGCUAGUUCAAAAGGGAAGUCAGCUCCUUUAAUACCAGUAGUCCGAAAGCUUUAGUCAGAAAGGGAAGUCAGGAAGAUAUGAAAUAUCUGUAACAGGAAGUCGUGUAAGGCGGUGGUGUUCUCCUUUGUUCCUCUGUCCUAGUCAUUUCGUGGUCUAGUGAGCCCUCUUAAGCCUCUUCUUCGUAAUCAAGCCGAAGCAAGGAUGAUGCUAACCUAUAAGUGUAAAGAAAGGGGAAUUCGUUCUGAGAAGUGUUGUGCUAAGUCUGGCAUCUGCCUUACCUUUCUUUGCGGGAAAUUGCUCAAAUCUCUGACUUCGAUUUAACGCUGGUGAAAAACUAAGACUUUCUUUCAGUGAGCUAUUCCCUUUCACUCUAUUCAACUCGAGUUUGUACCUAUCGUACCUAUCUAUCGAGCCUGCCCUGGUCAAUCUUUCCCGCCCUCUCCACUGGAAAAUCCAAUACAAUAUAAGUAAAGAAAAACGACUACUCGGAAAAAAGACUAAUUCCACUUCCUUUUCAUUUCAGUUCACGGAUAGCUAUCCUAUCUAAAUGAACGAACUCUUCCUUCCUAGCGGGACUCAUAAAGAGGAGAAGACAGCAAGCAGCCUCUUAGUAGCUGCUCUUUGUGACGAGAAUCUCAUUGGUUAUCGAAUCGCUUGCCUUUCCCUUGAUCGAGCAAACCCAAAACCAGUUUUCGACGAGAACCUCAUGGGUAGUGCUCAUAAACUUGAAAGUGACUAUCAGUGCAGCCACAUGGCUAGCUGUCUAGCGGAAAGGGCUCCUUCCUUCCUAAAAAUAAUUCAAGAUGGCCAGCAAAUGAAGGGAUAGCAGCAGCGGCUGCCCGCAUCCCACCUCCCUGAGACAACGGGCAACUUACCUCUUUCUCACUUCUGCCCGUAGGGGAAAUUGAAGAGAAAAUGAAAUGCAUCCUACUAACGUCAGUUAAAAGUACAUCCUACUAACGCAAGUUUGGUUUGUUUGCUUGUCCACUUUCCGGAAUGAUUUAUAUUGAUUGAGACCAGAAGAAUGUGAUUUAACGCUCGCUAGCUGUUGAAAGUUUCGAUUUAGUUCCUGGAUCGAGGCAAUAUUGAUUGAUUGAUUCUUUACUUGACUUGCACUGACCCCAGGAAGAAAAGAAUAAGAUUCUUGAGCUGUCAGAGCAGAGGAGAUUCCAGUCAGAAAAGGUCCUACUAACUCAACUUCUAAGCUUGAAGGUGAAGGGGGGCUUUGCCCUCCCGGUAUCAAUGGAUGAUGCUAAAAGCAACCUGAAGCUGGUGAGCUUGUUACGACUGAAAUCGGUGAUUCCUCGUUCACUGCUGAUUCUUCUAUUCCUGCUGUUCUGGAUGAAUAAACCAACCCGCCAUAAAAGAAUCCUGCCCGACGGGAAUGUGUGGUAUGCUAAGGUGGAGCCUCCUUCUUCAACAGCCAAGUCACGAAAUACCGAACCCAAAUCCGCUCCUUGCCCCAAGGGCAAGGGAUAAGGCGGCCUCGUUCCCGGAGUUCCUACGGUAGCUAAAAGAAGGGUUAUUGUCGUUGCUAAAGGCAGAGUGCCGUAGCCACCCAUAAAAGAAGCCGGCUUCCCCUUCAUCCAGUGAUCAAAAGCAAAUAUCCACGAAACCCGCUAAGGAAAGGAUUUGGGAGAGAAAGAAUAGCUAUCCAGUUCAGCUAGCGAGGAGCAACUUAUUUACUUCUCACUUUCAGCUCUAUCUCUAUACUAUAUUAGUAGAUGUCACUUCCUCUUCCUUCUCACCUCUCAUUCCUUUUCUGACCUACGGCACUGAACGUCAACCCCUCUGAUAGAAAGUCAAUGAGCGCGGUGCAACAAAGCUUCUAGUUUCGGUAUCUCUCCCGUGGGUAUACCCUUCAAUAGUGAGUAUCUCUCUCGUGAAGUAAGAAUUUAUAAUAUGAGCUGAAUCCACUACUGGAAAGGCAGGAGGGCGAAGACGAAGUAGGGUUGAGUCUCAGGAAGCGUUUAGGCCGGGUUCGAAGCUUUCUUCAAAGACAGGUACAGUAGCUACUUUAAUCUCAGGGGAAUAAAAUGGAUAAUCAAACUGCUAAGGUGAGUUUACUCUCCCUUUAGGGGAUGGAAGUUGACUUACAAAGAAAAAGGGUAUAAUUAUAAUAUUUUUCAGUCUCAGUUCUUUCUUUAGUCAGGGAAUUUGCUUGUUGCUCAAGGGAAGGAUCUAUGUAAUAAUAGUUAAAUAAGGAUUCUUCUAAGCGCUGGAGUCCGAAGGGUCCGAAGGAGUGGUAUCAAGCCUGCUCGUAGCUCACCCGUAACCCGUAAAGUAGGCAAUAUGUAAUAUUGUAGUAGGAGCCUCUUACUCCAUCCGAAGAGGAGAAUCUCUAUUAAGCUUUCUUUUUCUUCUCAGCCCAAGUUCAAAGACAGCUCGCUCAGUCGAACCGAACUUCGAAUCCAAUAAAUCCAAUGUAUCAUAGAAGGAUAACCUGUGAGUUAGGGAUGAUGUAAUUAAGAAGGAUAAGCUGUGAGCUAGGGUAAUAUUCCAUAUUAGAACAGUUCAGCAAAGACAGGUUAGAAUGGUAAUCUAGAUAGGUAGUUUGCUCACGAGCUGCAAUCAAUAGAAAGGGAUCCACCCUAAAGAAGAGGAUCGGAUCCACCUGAAGUAGUCAAGUCCCAAUCAAUGGAAGAUGUGGACUCUUUCCGACCCGCGAGCCAUGAAGAUUGAAUAUGUGGAGUCCAAAAGUGGAAAUCCAUUAGUGGCAUGAGAAGAAGUAGGGACGGGACUGAGGGAAGUCAUUCCAGGCAAGAGAGCCAAUCAGGGAAAUCCUCCCGGUAGAAGCGAAUAGACAGAAGUAGGAAAGAAAUUUGGAAAAUAUCUUAAUCAAGAUCAGAAGGCGAGAUAGCAGUGUUCAUUCAGGCAGGGGUUUCUACGAAAGACCCGAUUGCUGACUCUUCUAGUGUUGUGUUCACCACGGGGAUUGAACAUCAGGGGAAGAGGAGAUGAAGAUUGGGGUUCACCAGGCAAGAACGAGAGGUCCGUAGUGUGACAGGCUAGGUACGCCGCUCACCUGUAUCAGUUAUGGGGGUAGAAACUGAAAGAUUAGAAAAGGGAUUAGACGCAGAAGAAGAAUCUUAUGCUGGGCACAGUCCUAUUGAUGUUGAUUCAAUUGAAAAGCAGGCUACCCAUAGUUAUAAAACAAACUCCUCUCCAGGAAGACGAAGGUGGGUUCAGGAGUGAAAGGUAAGCGAAGCGUACAUGAAAUAUCGUAAAAAUGUUAUAACUAUCUCUUUCUCUUUACUAGGAGCUGCUUGCCCAGUCAGAAAGCUAGGAUCAGUCUCUGUCCACUCUAAGGUAAGGAAGCCCCGUCUCAGGCGAAGGUUGCUCCGUAUUCUCUUCUUUCAUAGAGCCUCUCUCCGUGGAGGAAUGAAUUCAGGUAACUAAGCGCAAGGAAUGAAUGAGCUCAUCUCGUUAAGAAUGAGGAGCGAAUGAUCAAAUCAAGUUCCAAUCUCAGUCUAAGUUACCCAAGAUCCAGUAAAUAUAGGAGGAAUUUCUAAGAUAGGUACGUUGUCAGCGAGGGUAAUAUUCCAUAUUACUUAAAAUAGGCGAUCAAUUCCAUGUGAAAUGAAAGGGGCAAGCCCCGUCUCAGUCGUCGAAGGGAUAAUGUAAUUAUGUUCUUUUAUCCCCUGUUCUAGGCGCAAUUCGUGGGCAAAGGCAAAGGGAGAGGUAAGCGUAGGCCUUCUCAGUCGAAGGAGAAACGGAAUCUAGGACGGGAUUGGAUUAAGGGCUUUCAAGCAUGGGUAGAAAGGUCCUCUUAGGUGUUAAUCCGCACGGGACGAUUGAUUAGGCAAAGAUGAUGCUAACGGACCAGGCCCAGGAGAGGAGAUUUCCGCUGUGAACGCUAUCUCAGAAGCUCAGGCUGUUGCACGCCUUACAUCUCAGAUUGCAUCUUCGCCUCCACGAAAGAAGAAUCCAAUAAGUCAAGUUCCAUGGGCAUCCUCCGAAGUAUCAUCUCAAUCCGGCGCUUUCUAAGGGAAGGCUUUAGCUUUCCAAUCGUAGGCCUGGGCCUUCUUGACCCUUUCUCGGAGAGGCAACCGUCUUGUCUUAACUGUCCCGAGCUACCGUUGUGGGUUGUGCUCAGUAAACGAGUUGUCCUAAAUGCCCCAGCAGUCGCAGUAAGCUCAGGCGAAGUUUCAAGCAAGUUCCUCGCACCUCACCUAACCACUCUAUUUCUCCUAGAAGGCAACGUGAUAAGCAACUUGACUUCUUUGAUCAUUUGAAAGAGGCCCGGGGUAUCAGUCAAAGAAAUGUUCAUAAUCCGCUUUCAAAUAGGCCCUGGUAGCUUGCUUCUUUUAUCUAUCUGCUUAGUCUCA
rnacentral:lncRNA from 1 species